UACAGAGGUGUCAAGCGUUGUUCGGAUUCAUUGGGCGUAAAGGGUGCGUAGGUGGUUGGGUAAGUCAAAUGUGAAAGCCCGGAGCUCAACUCCGGAACUGCAUUCGAUACUGCCCGGCUCGAGGAUUGGAGAGGAGACUGGAAUUCACGGUGUAGCGGUGAAAUGCGUAGAGAUCGUGAGGAACACCCGUGGCGAAGGCGGGUCUCUGGACAAUUCCUGACACUGAGGCACGAAGGCCAGGGGAGCAAACGGG
rnacentral:rRNA from 1 species